rnacentral:rRNA from 1 species
GAUGAACGCUAGCUACAGGCUUAACACAUGCAAGUCGAGGGGCAGCAUGGUCUUAGCUUGCUAAGGCCGAUGGCGACCGGCGCACGGGUGAGUAACACGUAUCCAACCUGCCGUCUACUCUUGGACAGCCUUCUGAAAGGAAGAUUAAUACAAGAUGGCAUCAUGAGUCCGCAUGUUCACAUGAUUAAAGGUAUUCCGGUAGACGAUGGGGAUGCGUUCCAUUAGAUAGUAGGCGGGGUAACGGCCCACCUAGUCUUCGAUGGAUAGGGGUUCUGAGAGGAAGGGCCCCCAGAUUGGAACUGAGACAAGGGCCAAACUCAUACGGGAGGCAGCAGUGAGGAAUAUUGGUCAAGGGGAGAGAGCCUGAACCAGCCAAGUAGCGUGAAGGAUGACUGCCCUAUGGGUUGUAAACUUCUUUUAUAAAGGAAUAAAGUCGGGUAUGGAUACCCGUUUGCAUGUACUUUAUGAAUAAGGAUCGGCUAACUACGUG